rnacentral:misc_RNA from 1 species
UCCUGGUUUCCCAGGCAGUCCCAUCAGAGUGCUCUCCUUACGGAGUAGCAACUGAUAGCAAGGGUUGCGCUCGUUAGAGGACUUAACCCAACAUCUCACGACACGAGCUGACGACAGCCAUGCAGCACCUGUGCAUACGUCCGAACCGAAGCCCGGAAGAUCGUGUUUCCACGACUGUCAUAUGCAUGUCAAGCCUAGGUAAGGUUCCUCGCGUAGUAUCGAAUUAAACCACAUGUUCCACCGCUUGUGCGAGCCCCCGUCAAUUCCUUUGAGUUUUAAUCUUGCGACCGUACUCCCCAGGCGGCGAACUUCACGCGUUAGCUGCGGUACUAAGGAAGUCUCCUUCCCCAACACCUAGUUCGCAUCGUUUAGGGCGUGGACUAC